UGCGGAAGGCGAGAUCCCGCCACGUGGCCUCGGGGAUGCCCACGGUGCUAGCCCCGCGCGCCGGCCCUGCCGGGUGCCGGUCCCUUCGGUGUGGCACUGGGGCUCGGCCUCCGCGCAGCCCGGAUUUGUCUCCUCCCGGCUGGAGGCGCCGAGUCAGGACGGCCCCCGGGUCCCUGGCACACUCGGGGCUCCAGCUUGCCCAGUAGUCUGGUGACGGGGACAUCGCCUAUUUAGGAAGCGGAUGAGAUCAGAGAUCCGAGAGUAGCAGGAUAAUUCCAGUGUUAGCAAGGAACAGAGGUGCUGUGGUGCUAUGCCCAAGGUGUUAAUGAACACAAGCUUGGUGACUUGAGAUGAACUGGUACAACUUCAAGAAGAAAAGGAAAUGGCCGUGAAAUUACCUGAUGGUGAGUAAGUCUACCAUCAGCUGCCAGCCUAACCUGCUUUGACCCCUCACCAACCCUGCUCAGUUAGAAAAGACUCUCUCUCUUAUCAUGUACUGUUGCAAAGGAGCCCUCUGAUAUGGUCACAUGGCUGCCUGAACUUAACCUGGGCAAACAGCCAUUAGGAAAUAGAUUUCUCCAGAAUCUUGAGACUUGGAGACUUUGUUUCUUAUUCCUGCCUAAAUGGCCAACUGUCAUUGGAAAGGGGACAUCAUAAAUGUGGCCUGGUUACAUCAGGCACAGACCCCUCCUGGGGGCCUGGCUAUAAAAGAAAACAAAACAAAACACUGCCCACAAGGGAGAAAUCCGCCCUAACCUUUCAAAGGCCCUAGAAAACCUAAUCUACUGCUCUCCCUGGCCAAGAUGCUCUUCUCUAGCAGCCCUGCAGUUUAUUUCCAAUAAACUUUUCCUGUCUCUGGUG